CCUACGGGAUGCAGCAGUGAGGAAUAUUGGUCAAUGGACGAGAGUCUGAACCAGCCAAGUAGCGUGAAGGAUGACUGCCCUAUGGGUUGUAAACUUCUUUUAUAUGGGAAUAAAACGUUCCACGUGUGGGAUUUUGUAUGUACCAUAUGAAUAAGGAUCGGCUAACUCCGUGCCAGCAGCCGCGGUAAUACGGAGGAUCCGAGCGUUAUCCGGAUUUAUUGGGUUUAAAGGGAGCGUAGGUGGAUUGUUAAGUCAGUUGUGAAAGUUUGCGGCUCAACCGUAAAAUUGCAGUUGAAACUGGCAGUCUUGAGUACAGUAGAGGUGGGCGGAAUUCGUGGUGUAGCGGUGAAAUGCUUAGAUAUCACGAAGAACUCCGAUUGCGAAGGCAGUUCACUGGACUGUAACUGACACUGAGGCUCGAAAGUGUGGGUAUCAAACAGGAUUAGAUACCCUAGUAGUC
rnacentral:rRNA from 1 species